CUACGGAGGGUCCGAGCGUUAAUCGGAAUUACUGGGCGUAAAGCGCGCGUAGGUGGUUCAGUCAGUCAGAUGUGAAAGCCCCAGGCUCAACCUGGGAACUGCACCUGAUACUGCUGAGCUAGAGUACGGUAGAGGGCAGUGGAAUUUCCGGUGUAGCGGUGAAAUGCGUAGAGAUCGGAAGGAACACCAGUGGCGAAGGCGACGGCCUGGACUGAUGCUGACACUGAGGUGCGAAAGGGUGGGUAGCAAACAGGAUUAGAUACCCUGGUAGUCCACGCCGUAAACGAUGUCAACUAGCCGUUGGGGGACUUGAUCCUUUAGUGGCGAAGCUAACGCGAUAAGUUGACCGCCUGGGGAGUACGGCCGCAAGGUUAAAACUCAAAUGAAUUGACGGGG
rnacentral:rRNA from 1 species